UUGUAGAAUUUGAAGAAUUCAACUUGUAUACAUGAAGGGUUUGAAGACUUCAAGCUUGCAUACUUGUUUGAAUUUAAAGACUUCAAGC
rnacentral:pre_miRNA from 1 species